GUUUUGUCGUACUCGUAGAGCGCUCAAGUUAUAAGGUAGAGAUAUUGUUGUCUUUUUGCAUAUAGCACUCUGUUAUGAAAGACAUCAAUUCACUAGCUUUCAAUUUGUACGCUUAAAUGCAGCAACACACAGU
rnacentral:precursor_RNA from 15 species